rnacentral:rRNA from 1 species
UACGAAGGUGGCUAGCGUUGUUCGGAAUUACUGGGCGUAAAGCGCGCGUAGGCGGCUUUGCAAGCCAGAGGUGAAAUGCCUGAGCUCAACUUAGGAAUUGCCUUUGGGACUGCGAGGCUUUGAGGACUGGAGAGGUGAGUGGAAUUCCCAGUGUAGAGGUGAAAUUCGUAGAUAUUGGGAAGAACACCGGUGGCGAAGGCGGCUCACUGGCCAGUUUCUGACGCUGCAGCGCGAAAGCGUGGGGAUCAAACAGG